rnacentral:tRNA from 1 species
GCGCGUCUAGCUCAACGGCAGAGCCGGCGGCUCAUAACCGCCUCGGUCCCGGUUCAAAUCCGGGGGCGCGCACCA